UCGCCCUUUCAGCAUGCGGCUCGGGACGGUGAGCGGCGGCGGCGGCGGGCGGGACGCUGCGGGGAGCGGGGCCGGCCUCUCCUCGGUCCCGCUCCGUCCCGGCGCCGUGGAGGGAGGGUUUGUGGUCCUCUCGGGCGCGCCCCGCGCCGCCCUGACCGCCGGCUGUUGUCCCCCGCUGCCCCUUCCCGCGCCAUGUUGCAGCGAAGCUUCUUCAGGGCGGGCCCUGACGGCGGCUCUUGGGCGGCGGCGGCCGGUUCCGCGUCCGCUCUUCUCCCCCGUCGCUGAACAAGGGAAGGCCGCGACGUGAGGACAUGGCCGCGGCCCGGCAGACCCCGCUGUGGCGCGGCUGGAGCCUGGCAGAAGACAAAGGGUGACGCGAAAAAGAUCGCUUGUCUCGAAAAAUCAUGGAGAUAGCGAUGUGACGUUGCAGACCCAGGAGAUCUCCUCAAAGACCUGAGUUACUUUUGAGAACAAGACUGAGUUCUGGAACUUGCUUCAAAUGUUGAAGAUCAUACCUUGAGUUUUGGAAUUUCUAGCAAACCUGGCUACAGUAAGUGAAAUGGUUGGCAGCAUCUGCGUUCGAAGAUUUGUAGAUUCCGAAAACUUGGUCUUUUCUCAUACGUGGCUUAAAGCACACUACUAAAGCACUGCAGUUUCAAUCUGUGUUUUCUCUACGUGGUUAAGAAGGAUUAAAAAACAAAAUGACUAAAUAAAGAUUGCACCUACAAUAA